ensembl:lncRNA
GUGUUCUGAUUGUUUUCGGUCUGUUUCUAUGCAGUUUUUAGAACGUUGUGGGUGGUUGCUAGGGCAUUGCUAUAUGGUUACUAAGUUGUUCUGAUUGUUUUCGGUCUGUUGCUAUGCAGUUUUUAGAACAUUGUGGGUGGUUGCUAGGGCAUUGCUAUAUGGUUGCUAAGUGUUCUGAUUGUUUUCGGUCUGUUGCUAUGCAGUUUUUAGAACGUUGUGGGUGCUUGCUAGGGCAUUGCUAUAUGGUUGCUAAGUGUUCUGAUUGUUUUCAGUCUGUUGCUAUGCAGUUUUUAGAACGUUGUGGGUGGUUGCUAGGGCGUUGCUAUAUGGUUACUAAGAUGUUCUGAGUGUUUUU